rnacentral:rRNA from 1 species
UGGGGAAUAUUGGGCAAUGGGCGAAAGCCUGACCCAGCGACGCCGUGUGGGCGAUGAAGGCCUUCGGGUUGUAAAGCCCUGUGAGGUGGAAAGAAGGGUCCAGAGGUUAAUACCCUUUGGACUUUGACGGUACCACCAGAGGAAGCACCGGCUAACUCCGUGCCAGCAGCCGCGGUAAUACGGAGGGUGCAAGCGUUGUUCGGAAUUACUGGGCGUAAAGGGCGCGUAGGUGGUUGUGUAAGUCAGAUGUGAAAUCCUUAGGCUUAACCUGAGAACUGCAUCUGAUACUGCAUGACUCGAGUACAGCAGAGGGAAACGGAAUUCCUGGUGUAGAGGUGAAAUUCGUAGAUAUCAGGAGGAACACCGGUGGCGAAGGCGGUUUCCUGGGCUGAUACUGACACUGAGGCGCGAAAGCGUGGGGAGCAAACA